ACGCUGAAGGAGGAGCUUGCUUCUCUGGAUGAGUUGCGAACGGGUGAGUAACGCGUAGGUAACCUGCCUGGUAGCGGGGGAUAACUAUUGGAAACGAUAGCUAAUACCGCAUAAGAGUGGAUGUUGCAUGACAUUUGCUUAAAAGGUGCACUUGCAUCACUACCAGAUGGACCUGCGUUGUAUUAGCUAGUUGGUGGGGUAACGGCUCACCAAGGCGACGAUACAUAGCCGACCUGAGAGGGUGAUCGGCCACACUGGGACUGAGACACGGCCCAGACUCCUACGGGAGGCAGCAGUAGGGAAUCUUCGGCAAUGGACGGAAGUCUGACCGAGCAACGCCGCGUGAGUGAAGAAGGUUUUCGGAUCGUAAAGCUCUGUUGUAAGAGAAGAAUGAGUGUGAGAGUGGAAAUUCAC
rnacentral:rRNA from 1 species